GACGAACGCUGGCGGCGUGCUUAACACAUGCAAGUCGAACGGAAAGGCCCUGCUUUUGUGGGGUGCUCGAGUGGCGAACGGGUGAGUAACACGUGAGUAACCUGCCCUUGACUUUGGGAUAACUUCAGGAAACUGGGGCUAAUACCGGAUAGGAGCUCCUGCUGCAUGGUGGGGGUUGGAAAGUUUCGGCGGUUGGGGAUGGACUCGCGGCUUAUCAGCUUGUUGGUGGGGUAGUGGCUUACCAAGGCUUUGACGGGUAGCCGGCCUGAGAGGGUGACCGGCCACAUUGGGACUGAGAUACGGACCAGACUCCUACGGGAGGCAGCAGUGGGGAAUAUUGCACAAUGGGCGGAAGCCUGAUGCAGCAACGCCGCGUGCGGGAUAACGGCCUUCGGGUUGUAAACCGCUUUCGCCUGUGACGAAGCGUGAGUGACGGUAAAGGGUAAAGAAGCACCGGCUAACUACGUG
rnacentral:rRNA from 1 species